GCUAAACGCACUUCCGUUUGAUCAUUACGUCGAGUAACAGUGAGCGAGAGUGUCGUGUUCGUACAAGUCGCCGAAUAAUUUCUGUUGGUUUGGUCAAAUUAGGACCAGUAGAUCCAUCAAAAGUCUUUCCCCAUUAAUAGAGAGUUUUGCCCACGGCACUGGAAACGAAGUGUGAUUAACUCGAUCACCAAACCACAUUGAAGUGGAAGGCGGUGAUUGCCCGAGCCACAGUUCAACAACUUGAUGCACGAUAGGAGAAAUCAGUAGCACCAGAAGAGCAGCAUUUCGUCAAGCUUGAGAUCGAAAAGCCUUCCACGUGAAGGCUUUUGUUUCUCACACGGACUUCUUUUGGUGCACCCGCUGAAAAGCAUCGCGUGGCUUCGGUAGAAGCAUUGUCAGGGAAGUGACAAUAGGCUCACGGAAAGAUCGCUAAGCGGCACGUUGGUGACGACACAGAAACACGACGUCAGAAGACGGACACGCGGGGAGCAGAAACUGUUCCGGUGGUAUAGGUGUGACAACAAACAGACGGUCGCUGAGAUUUUUGACAGCGAAGGUUGGGCACUGACAAACGGUGCCCACCGACUAGAGGAAGUACCCACUAAAUUGGUGCAACCAGACAUCGCAGGAUCACAGAGGCGGCUCAACGACAGCAGUGAUUACCUAGAUUAGAGGCGGAAGGAAUCGCUGGCAUUCGAUGCACCCCAGCGCGGUGACAUGGGAUCAACGGCAACUAAGCUCGGAAAGCAGAUACGGUGCAGAUCGCCUGCAAGCGGAGUCAGCGGAAGUUGCUGGCCCAACAGGACAGUAGUUUGGUCGUCAUCAACAUAUGCGGCAUAACUCAGAAAUGCGAAUGAGGAAAAUGAGAGGAAUCUAGCCGGUGUCGUCGCACGUCAGGUUAUGUGCUUGAGCAAGGUAAAGUUGUAGAUUGAUCUUGUCAGUCAAAACAAUGGGCCGAUUGUGGCAAAAUAAAUUUAUGUAAUGCUAAUUUGUUCGUUUGGGCUUUUUCCUUAUUUUAUUGAGCACCAGGCGCAGCAUCUGUAGCAUAAAGCAGAGCUGUCAAAAUUAUACGUGACAGCUUAAGUUCAAAUUCAUAUUCGGAUACAAGUUCAGGUUCAGAUUUACGUUCAGAUUCAAUUCAUGUUCAAGUUUAGAUUCACGUUCAGGUUCUGGGUCAGGAUCAGGCUCAGGUAUAUGGUGAGGUUUAAGUUUAGGUUCAAAUUCAGGUUCGGGUUCAGGUUCAGGCUCAAGUUCAAGUUCAGGUUCAGGUCCAAGCUCAAGUUCAGAUUCGUAUUCGAGUUCAGGUUGAAGUUCAGCUUUAAUUUGGUUACAGGUUUAGUUCAGGUUCAGGUUCAAGGUCAGGUUCUAGUUAAGGUUCAGGCUCAAGUCCAAGUUCAGGUUUAACUUUAGGUUCGGAUUCGAAUUCAGUGUUAGUGUUUUGUGAUGAAUUUAUUAUUUACUAAUAUUUAUUCAAAAUUUUUAUUGUGUGUUCUGCCACAAACGGUGACAUAUCAACACUAUUACAUAUAUUUUAAGCGUUAUUUCAUUAAAAGAUUGAAAUUGCUUCCGCAGUUUAGUGAAUAUAAUUGUAGGAAAAUUGUAAACCUACUUGUCAAGAAAACCUUAAUUAAUCCACCUAGCGGUCAGACCCAGCCUUUCUCAUUCAAUUUUUUAUUUGUAAAGUAGAUUUACAUGAACGCUU